UGGGGAAUUUUGGACAAUGGGCGAAAGCCUGAUCCAGCAAUGCCGCGUGUGUGAAGAAGGCCUUCGGGUUGUAAAGCACUUUUGUCCGGAAAGAAAUCCUUGGCUCUAAUACAGUCGGGGGAUGACGGUACCGGAAGAAUAAGCACCGGCUAACUACGUGCCAGCAGCCGCGGUAAUACGUAGGGUGCAAGCGUUAAUCGGAAUUACUGGGCGUAAAGCGUGCGCAGGCGGUUUGCUAAGACCGAUGUGAAAAUCCCCGGGCUCAACCUGGGAACUGCAUUGGUGACUGGCAGGCUAGAGUAUGGCAGAGGGGGGUAGAAUUCCACGUGUAGCAGUGAAAAUGCGUAGAGAUGUGGAGGAAUACCGAUGGCGAAAGGCAGCCCCCUGGGCCAAUACUGACGCUCAUGCACGAAAAGCGUGGGGAGCAAAACAGGAUUAGAUACCCUGGUAGUCCACGCCCU
rnacentral:rRNA from 1 species